rnacentral:rRNA from 1 species
CUACGGGGGGCUCCAGUGAGGAAUAUUGCACAAUGGGGGGAACCCUGAUGCAGCAACGCCGCGUGGAGGAUGACGCAUUUCGGUGUGUAAACUCCUUUUAUAUGUCAAGAAAAUGACGGUAGCAUAUGAAUAAGCACCGGCUAACUCCGUGCCAGCAGCCGCGGUAAUACGGAGGGUGCAAGCGUUACUCGGAAUCACUGGGCGUAAAGGACGCGUAGGCGGGUUGGAAAGUCAGGUGUGAAAUCCUACAGCUUAACUGUAGAACUGCACUUGAAACUUCUAAUCUAGAGUAUGGGAGGGGGAGAUGGAAUUAGUGGUGUAGGGGUAGGAUCCGUAGAUAUCACUAGGAAUACCUAAAGCGAAGGCGAUCUCCUGGAACAUUACUGACGCUAAGGCGUGCAAGCGUGGGGAGCAAACAGGAUUAGAUACCCUCGUAGUC